rnacentral:rRNA from 1 species
CCUACGGGGGGCAGCAGUGGGGAAUAUUGGACAAUGGGCGAAAGCCUGAUCCAGCCAUGCCGCGUGUGUGAAGAAGGCCUUCGGGUUGUAAAGCACUUUCAGUGGGGAAGAAAGCCUUGGGGCUAAUACCCUCGAGGAAGGACAUCACCCACAGAAGAAGCACCGGCUAACUCCGUGCCAGCAGCCGCGGUAAUACGGAGGGUGCGAGCGUUAAUCGGAAUUACUGGGCGUAAAGGGGCGUAGGCGGUCUGAUAAGCCGGUUGUGAAAGCCCCGGGCUCAACCUGGGAACGGCAUCCGGAACUGUCAGGCUAGAGUGAAGGAGAGGAAGGUAGAAUUCCCGGUGUAGCGGUGAAAUGCGUAGAGAUCGGGAGGAAUACCAGUGGCGAAGGCGGCCUACUGGACUGACACUGACGCUGAGGUGCGAAAGCGUGGGUAGCAAACAGGAUUAGAUACCCUGGUAGUC